GUUUUGUAUUAAUAUGAUAUCAGACACAAAGCAGUGUUCAAGAGUUGUUGUUUGCAGGUCGAAAGCACGAAUGCAAUCGGCACUAUUGGUAGAAUCCAAAAAUGAUCCUUCCGCAGGUUCACCUACGGAAA
rnacentral:misc_RNA from 1 species